GAUGAACGCUAGCGAUAGGCUUAACACAUGCAAGUCGAGGGGCAGCAUGGUCUUAGCUUGCUAAGGCUGAUGACGACCGGCGCACGGGUGCGUAACGCGUAUGCAACUUGCCUCACAGAGGGGGAUAACCCGUCGAAAGACGGACUAAUACCGCGUACACUCUAUGUUGGGCAUCCAAUGUAGAGGAAAUGAAAUUCGCUGUGAGAUAGGCAUGCGUCCCAUUAGCUAGUUGGUGAGGUAACGGCUCACCAAGGCGACGAUGGGUAGGGGAACUGAGAGGUUGAACCCCCACACUGGUACUGAGACACGGACCAGACUCCUACGGGAGGCAGCAGUGAGGAAUAUUGGUCAAUGGGCGAGAGCCUGAACCAGCCAAGUCGCGUGAAGGAUGACCGUCUUAUGGAUUGUAAACUUCUUUUAUACGGGAAUAACAAGAGUCACGUGUGGCUCCCUGCAUGUACCGUAUGAAUAAGCAUCGGCUAACUCCGUG
rnacentral:rRNA from 1 species